AGCAGCCGCGGUAAUUCCAGCUCCAAUAGCGUAUAUUAAAGUUGUUGCAGUUAAAAAGCUCGUAGUUGAAUUUCGGGAUCAAUAUGUUGGUCGUGCCUUGGUACGUACUGGCAUUAUUGGUUUCUACCUUCUGAAGAACCUCGAUGUCAUUAAUUUGGUGUCUUGGGGAAACAGGACUGUUACUUUGAAAAAAAUUAGAGUGUUUUAAAGCAGGCUCGCGCUUGAAUACAUUAGCGUGGAAUAAUGAAAUAGGACGUUUGAUUCUAUUUUGUUGGUUUCUAGGAUCGACGUAAUGAUUAAUAGGGAUAGUUGGGGGGCAUUAGUAUUCAAUUGUCAGAGGUGAAAUUCUUGGAUUUAUUGAAGACUAACUACUGCGAAAAGCAUUUGCCAAGGAGUUUUCAUAUUCAAGAACGAAAGUUAGGGGAUCGAAGACGAUCAGAUACCGUCGUAGUCUUAACCAUAAACUAUGCCGACUAGGGAUCGGAUGAUG
rnacentral:misc_RNA from 1 species